GACGUACUGCUGGCGGCACGCCUAACACAUGCAAGUCGAACGAAGUAGCAAUACUUAGUGGCAGACGGGUGAGUAACAUGUAGGUAUCUGCCCUUUGGCCUGGAAUAACACGAGGAAACUUGUGCUAAUACCGGAUAAGUCUUUACGGAGAAAGCUUUAUGCACCAUUGGAUGAGCCUGCACUUGAUUAGUUUGUUGGUGGGGUAAUGGCCUACCAAGACUGUGAUCAAUAGCUGAUUUGAGAGGAUGAUCAGCCACAUUGGGACUGAGACACGGCCCAAACUCCUACGGGAGGCAGCAGUGGGGAAUCUUGCACAAUGGAGGAAACUCUGAUGCAGCGAUGCCGCGUGAGUGAAGAAGGCCCUUGGGUUGUAAAGCUCUUUCGUCGGGGAAGAAAAUGACUGUACCCGAAUAAGAAGGUCCGGCUAACUUCGUGCCAGCAGCCGCGGUAAUACGAAGGGACCUAGCGUAGUUCGGAAUUACUGGGCUUAAAGAGUUCGUAGGUGGUUGAAAAAGUUAGUGGUGAAAUCCCAGAGCUUAACUCUGGAACUGCCAUUAAAACUUUUCAGCUAGAGUAUGAUAGAGGAAAGCAGAAUUUCUAGUGUAGAGGUGAAAUUCGUAGAUAUUAGAAAGAAUACCAAUUGCGAAGGCAGCUUUCUGGAUCAUUACUGACACUGAGGAACGAAAGCAUGGGUAGCGAAGAGGAUUAGAUACCCUCGUAGUCCAUGCCGUAAACGAUGUGUGUUAGACGUUGGAAAUUUAUUUUCAGUGUCGCAGCGAAAGCGAUAAACACACCGCCUGGGGAGUACGACCGCAAGGUUAAAACUCAAAUGAAUUGACGGGGACCCGCACAAGUAGUGGAGCAUGUGGUUUAAUUCGAAGAUACGCGCAGAACCUUACCAACACUUGACAUGUUCGUCGCGACUCUAAGAGAUUAGAGUUUUCGGUUCGGCCGGACGAAACACAGGUGCUGCAUGGCUGUCGUCAGCUCGUGUCGUGAGAUGUUGGGUUAAGUCCCGCAACGAGCGCAACCCUCACUUUUAGUUGCCAUCAUUAAGUUGGGCACUCUGAAAGAACUGCCAGUGAUAAGCUGGAGGAAGGUGGGGAUGACGUCAAGUCCUCAUGGCCCUUACGUGUUGGGCUACACACGUGCUACAAUGGUAUCUACAACAGGAAGCAAGACUGCGAAGUUAAGCAAAUCCCUAAAAGAUACCUCAGUUCGGAUUGCACUCUGCAACUCGAGUGCAUGAAGCUGGAAUUACUAGUAAUCGUGGAUCAGCGUGCCACGGUGAAUGCGUUCCCGGGUCU
rnacentral:rRNA from 1 species